rnacentral:rRNA from 1 species
AUUGAACGCUGGCGGCAGGCCUAACACAUGCAAGUCGAGCGGCAGCGGAAAGUAGCUUGCUACUUUGCCGGCGAGCGGCGGACGGGUGAGUAAUGUCUGGGAAACUGCCUGAUGGAGGGGGAUAACUACUGGAAACGGUAGCUAAUACCGCAUAACGUCGCAAGACCAAAGAGGGGGACCUUCGGGCAUCUUGCCAUCAGAUGUGCCCAGAUGGGAUUAGCUAGUAGGUGGGGUAACGGCUCACCUAGGCGACGAUCCCUAGCUGGUCUGAGAGGAUGACAAGCCACACUGGAACUGAGACACGGCCCAGACUCCUACGGGAGGCAGCAGUGGGGAAUAUUGCACAAUGGGCGCAAGCCUGAUGCAGCCAUGCCGCGUGUAUGAAGAAGGCCUUCGGGUUGUAAAGUACUUUCAGCGGGGAGGAAGGCGUUGUGGUUAAUAACCACAGCGAUUGACGUUACCCGCAGAAGAAGCACCGGCUAACUCCGUGCCAGCCGCCGCGGUAA